rnacentral:rRNA from 1 species
UUUGAUUAUGGCUCAGGACGAACGCUGGCGGCGUGCCUAAUACAUGCAAGUCGAGCGGACAGAUGGGAGCUUGCUCCCUGAUGUUAGCGGCGGACGGGUGAGUAACACGUGGGUAACCUGCCUGUAAGACUGGGAUAACUCCGGGAAACCGGGGCUAAUACCGGAUGGUUGUUUGAACCGCAUGGUUCAAACAUAAAAGGUGGCUUCGGCUACCACUUACAGAUGGACCCGCGGCGCAUUAGCUAGUUGGUGAGGUAACGGCUCACCAAGGCGACGAUGCGUAGCCGACCUGAGAGGGUGAUCGGCCACACUGGGACUGAGACACGGCCCAGACUCCUACGGGAGGCAGCAGUAGGGAAUCUUCCGCAAUGGACGAAAGUCUGACGGAGCAACGCCGCGUGAGUGAUGAAGGUUUUCGGAUCGUAAAGCUCUGUUGUUAGGGAAGAACAAGUACCGUUCGAAUAGGGCGGUACCUUGACGGUACCUAACCAGAAAGCCACGGCUAACUACGUGCCAGCAGCCGCGGUAAUACGUAGGUGGCAAGCGUUGUCCGGAAUUAUUGGGCGUAAAGGGCUCGCAGGCGGUUUCUUAAGUCUGAUGUGAAAGCCCCCGGCUCAACCGGGGAGGGUCAUUGGAAACUGGGGAACUUGAGUGCAGAAGAGGAGAGUGGAAUUCCACGUGUAGCGGUGAAAUGCGUAGAGAUGUGGAGGAACACCAGUGGCGAAGGCGACUCUCUGGUCUGUAACUGACGCUGAGGAGCGAAAGCGUGGGGAGCGAACAGGAUUCGAUACCCUGGUAGUCCACGCCGUAAACGAUGAGU